AUUGAACGCUGGCGGCAUGCCUUACACAUGCAAGUCGAACGGUAACAGGUUAAGCUGCCGCGUGGCGAACGGGUGAGUAAUGUAUCGGAACGUGCCCAGUCGUGGGGGAUAACUGCUCGAAAGAGCAGCUAAUACCGCAUACGACCUGAGGGUGAAAGCGGGGGAUCGCAAGACCUCGCGCGAUUGGAGCGGCCGAUAUCAGAUUAGGUAGUUGGUGAGGUAAAGGCUCACCAAGCCGACGAUCUGUAGCUGGUCUGAGAGGACGACCAGCCCACUGGGACUGAGACACGGCCCAGACUCCUACGGGAGGCAGCAGUGGGGAAUUUUGGACAAUGGGCGCAAGCCUGAUCCAGCCAUGCCGCGUGCGGGAAGAAGGCCUUCGGGUUGUAAACCGCUUUUGUCAGGGAAGAAAAGGUUCUGGCUAAUACCUGGGACUCAUGACGGUACCUGAAGAAUAAGCACCGGCUAACUACGUG
rnacentral:rRNA from 1 species